rnacentral:rRNA from 1 species
GAUGAACGCUGGCGGCGUGCCUAAUACAUGCAAGUCGAGCGAACGGACGAGAAGCUUGCUUCUCUGAUGUUAGCGGCGGACGGGUGAGUAACACGUGGAUAACCUACCUAUAAGACUGGGAUAACUUCGGGAAACCGGAGCUAAUACCGGAUAAUAUUUUGAACCGCAUGGUUCAAAAGUGAAAGACGGUCUUGCUGUCACUUAUAGAUGGAUCCGCGCUGCAUUAGCUAGUUGGUAAGGUAACGGCUUACCAAGGCAACGAUGCAUAGCCGACCUGAGAGGGUGAUCGGCCACACUGGAACUGAGACACGGUCCAGACUCCUACGGGAGGCAGCAGUAGGGAAUCUUCCGCAAUGGGCGAAAGCCUGACGGAGCAACGCCGCGUGAGUGAUGAAGGUCUUCGGAUCGUAAAACUCUGUUAUUAGGGAAGAACAUAUGUGUAAGUAACUGUGCACAUCUUGACGGUACCUAAUCAGAAAGCCACGGCUAACUACGUGCCAGCAGCCGCGGUAAUACGUAGGUGGCAAGCGUUAUCCGGAAUUAUUGGGCGUAAAGCGCGCGUAGGCGGUUUUUUAAGUCUGAUGUGAAAGCCCACGGCUCAACCGUGGAGGGUCAUUGGAAACUGGAAAACUUGAGUGCAGAAGAGGAAAGUGGAAUUCCAUGUGUAGCGGUGAAAUGCGCAGAGAUAUGGAGGAACACCAGUGGCGAGGGCGACUUUCUGGUCUGUAACUGACGCUGAUGUGCGAAAGCGUGGGGAUCAAACAGGAUUAGAUACCCUGGUAGUCCACGCCGUAAACGAUGAGUGCUAAGUGUUAGGGGGUUUCCGCCCCUUAGUGCUGCAGCUAACGCAUUAAGCACUCCGCCUGGGGAGUACGACCGCAAGGUUGAAACUCAAAGGAAUUGACGGGGACCCGCACAAGCGGUGGAGCAUGUGGUUUAAUUCGAAGCAACGCGAAGAACCUUACCAAAUCUUGACAUCCUUUGACAACUCUAGAGAUAGAGCCUUCCCCUUCGGGGGACAAAGUGACAGGUGGUGCAUGGUUGUCGUCAGCUCGUGUCGUGAGAUGUUGGGUUAAGUCCCGCAACGAGCGCAACCCUUAAGCUUAGUUGCCAUCAUUAAGUUGGGCACUCUAAGUUGACUGCCGGUGACAAACCGGAGGAAGGUGGGGAUGACGUCAAAUCAUCAUGCCCCUUAUGAUUUGGGCUACACACGUGCUACAAUGGACAAUACAAAGGGCAGCGAAACCGCGAGGUCAAGCAAAUCCCAUAAAGUUGUUCUCAGUUCGGAUUGUAGUCUGCAACUCGACUACAUGAAGCUGGAAUCGCUAGUAAUCGUAGAUCAGCAUGCUACGGUGAAUACGUUCCCGGGUCU